rnacentral:rRNA from 1 species
GAUGAACGCUGGCGGCGUGCCUAAUACAUGCAAGUCGAGCGAACAGACGAGGAGCUUGCUCCUCUGACGUUAGCGGCGGACGGGUGAGUAACACGUGGAUAACCUACCUAUAAGACUGGGAUAACUUCGGGAAACCGGAGCUAAUACCGGAUAAUAUAUUGAACCGCAUGGUUCAAUAGUGAAAGACGGUUUUGCUGUCACUUAUAGAUGGAUCCGCGCCGCAUUAGCUAGUUGGUAAGGUAACGGCUUACCAAGGCGACGAUGCGUAGCCGACUUGAGAGGGUGAUCGGCCACACUGGAACUGAGACACGGUCCAGACUCCUACGGGAGGCAGCAGUAGGGAAUCUUCCGCAAUGGGCGAAAGCCUGACGGAGCAACGCCGCGUGAGUGAUGAAGGUCUUCGGAUCGUAAAACUCUGUUAUUAGGGAAGAACAAAUGUGUAAGUAACUAUGCACGUCUUGACGGUACCUAAUCAGAAAGCCACGGCUAACUACGU